UACGGAGGGUGCAAGCGUUGUUCGGAAUUACUGGGCGUAAAGGGCGCGUAGGCGGCGUAACAAGUCAGGUGUGAAAGUCCGGGGCUCAACUCCGGAAGUGCAUCUGAAACUGUUAUGCUUGAGUAUCGGAGAGGAAAGUAGAAUUCCCGGUGUAGAGGUGAAAUUCGUAGAUAUCGGGAGGAAUACCUGAGGCGAAGGCGACUUUCUGGACGAAUACUGACGCUGAGGCGCGAAAGCGUGGGGAGCAAACAGG
rnacentral:rRNA from 1 species